CGCAUCAGGCUUUCCUAGACUCAGCGCAAGCUCAGUGAAAAUCUGGGAAAUGUAAGUAGAAACAUGAGAGACCGCUUUAUUUGGCAGUGCUUUAAAAAAAAAAAAAAAAAAGGCAGAACAAAUGGCAAAGCAGUGUUUGGACCGCAGGAUGAACAAUCAAUAGGCAGAAAGCAAGAUAGAGGCUUCCUCAGCUUUUGGAUCGACAAUCGACAGCUGAGAGACUAUUUUUUGCUAUGGUUGACUAAAUAUGGUCAGGGAAGAGAGAGGCACAAGAGAGCCUGUUUGCCUGGGAGUGCAUGUUUCAAAUGCUUAGCUGCCUAUAAAGCUGUAACAGUUUAGCCCGUGGCCACUGAGGGAAGAAUAUAAGUUAACCUCUGUAGUGACCAUGUGGAAGUCCUGACCUUGCUUGCAGACUUGACCUCUGGAUAUGACAAGGUGGCUUCAAUACAGAUCUACCAAUUAAUCUUGGAAACUAAAAACCAAAAAAAAAAAAAAAACCAAAAACAAAAAACAAACAAACAAACAAAAAACUUCACAGCAAGAAAGAUACAGAAUAUUUCCUGCGAAGUCAGAAGAACCCAAUGUAUUCUGGUGGGCAAAGGAAAAUAGGGUGAAUGUUUAGUUACUUGGGGGGAGUGAGGUGUGUUUUGGUUUUGGUUUUUUGUCUUUUUUAGAUUAUAAAAUUAACUUCUUCUGCAACUUUCUCCCCUCUUCUGAAGCAUUUCAUCUGAAAAAUAAGCAAGGUUCAUUUUCUUGGCCGUUACAGCAACCUUCCUUGGUUGCUUAACUUUCUGUACAGCAGAUACAAGGUACUCCUAUCUGUGCAAUACUGGUAAUAUGACAUUGCAAAUCAAAUGGCCAACUGCGAUUCAAUUUUAUUGCAGUUUUGUUUUUUGGUUUUUUUUUAAGGUAAAGGCAAGGGAGAGGAAAAAGACAGCUUAUUUUUUUGUUUGUUCGUUCAUUUGUUUUUCAAAUGUAUCUUAAAAGGUGAGGUUCUGCAUUCACUGAUACAGCCCCCUUACUUCUCUCGGCUCCUGAAAAGAAGUGCUGAAUCAGCGAACAGAGUGAAGGAACAAUCAAGAUGAAAUGGCUGCUGCUGAUGUGACUCUUUAGGUCACCAUCUCUCUUCCUCCUGCAAAUGCUGCAUGGCACUAAGCUUACCAGGAUCUAGAAGCAAACUACAAAAUAAGAAGAAAUUCUCUCUGAAGACUAUGAAGAAACAUUAGGCUGAUCUUCCCAAUUUCUGAAGUAUACUCUGUAAAAACUCCACUGAUUCUAUGAAUCUCUGGCAAAAACAACCAGACCAGGACAAAGUUCAACAGAUAACUGGUUAGUGUUUAGACAUGUCUAUGUCUACCAAGAACAAGGAACCAUAAAAGGCACUAAUGCUAUGAUUCAGGUAAAUCUGUUAUAGUUUAGUCUUUGAUAGUCUCUGCAAAUGAUCUAUUAUUGCUCUGUAUCAGUAAGCUCAAUGUUUUACUAACAAAUGGGAAAAUAAAACAUUUCAUGUUUUUACAGCUAACAACUUAGUGAAACCUACUCAGAGUACAUACUUCUUUAUGUACCCAUAUGAACAUACAAUGCUAUGGAAUGUAAAGAAGUAUGUAUUUUUGGUAGGCAAUAAACUGCCAAGAGGGAACUAAACUGCAGCUAAAAGAAGCCUUUGCUUCUUUCUAUGUGAAUGACCUUCAUACGGUAAAUUAACCUAGUAUCAAAGAGAUGACCUUUGACAAUACUAACACCAUAAAAAUGUACCUACUACUUUUAGAUGGAAACAAAAUGCUGCUAAGAUUUCUAUUUUGUGAAGAAAAAAGAGUUUGAGGGAGAUUUUAAAUUAUCAUAAAACUCCUUUUAAAUCUUUUAGGUUUAAAAUAUACUACCUUUUACAUUUUUAAAUUAAGUAUGCACAUGAUAAAAAUUUGAAUACAGAAAAGAAACCAGUAUUACUAGCAAAAUGAAUGAGGGAUACAUACACAUGACCCAGUUUCUGUCUCCACAAUUCGACCUUAACUGAAGUAUAUCAUAUCACAUUAGUAGGAUCAACUGAUUUGUUAAGAAAAAUAAGAUAUGACAAAAGCUUAACUCCAUUACAUUUCAACAACUGCUCUUCAUAUUUUGAUUAAUUUAUAGUCUGCUAAUAUUAGAGGAAUUUCUGAAGCAAGUUUUGUUAUUUUAGGCUUUCUUUUUUUAAAACUACACAGUCAUAAUUCUAAAAGACUAUCUUUUAAGUAACACAUUCUACUCUCAAAAAAAAAAAAAAGUGGUGGUGUUAAUCACCAAGUUAAUCAGGUCCUUAACCCAGUCUUCACUUUAAAUGCUAAAUUAUUGCUUAGAAUAAAUUAAAAUAUAAAAUUUAUGCAGGAAAAAUGACAUAUCCUGGGCCACAGUUGUAAGUUAACAGGGCAAAUUGGUAAUAGAUUGCCAAAUAUUUAAAAGAAAUUAAUUUAUUAUCUAUACUAUCCUUGAACUUGCUUUCUCCAAAGCAAAUGAAAACACUAUAGUUAAGAAAUCAAUUUACACAGAAUAAUCAUCUUUUACUGGUACUAUGCAACCGCAAUUCAAUUUUUACCAACAUGAUAGGCCCACUAUUUAUACUAUGUUGGAGAUAUCAAAAUACUUUUUUCGUAUUUUACACAAAAUUUAUUUUAUACAACUAUUAAUAAAAAUCAUAAAGCUGCUGGCAAUACUUUAUAAGCAGUACCUGUUUCAAGCUACUAUGAUAGACUUAGAAAAAAAAACCUAAUAUUUAUAUUCAUGUAUUCUAAUCAUUUCUUACUAAAAGUUAUAAUUUCAGACAUAUAUGAAAAGCAAAAUGAUGUUUAAAAUUUAUACAUGUCACAAGUUGAACAGAAAUGGCUAUGAGGUUUUAACUACGGUUAACUACAGUUAACUACUGAAAAUAUGUAUGUCAAAAAUACAGGUUCCUCUAUAAAACUAUUCAAAGGGUAUUACUAUACUCAUGCUUUAUAAUGAACGAUAAUAUUCAUUAUUCUAUAGGUAUACAAGUUUUUAAUAAUUAUUUUGAAACAGCCCAGUGACUAAGACUCUCAUUGCUAUAAUAUUAAGAGUACGUAAUCCUUAGGAAAAAAAUGACAGCACCUGUUAUUCACUUUAAAAAGUAUGAUUAUAUACUGAUUCUAGUGCUUACAAGUUUAACUUAACAUAUCUAAGAGUAUUUUCAAUCACUCUAAAAUGUCACAUCCAUCACUUAGAUCAGCUGUUCAUUUUUAACUGAGUACAUAGUAAACUCUGGGCAUCUGCUGACACUGGUGUAACUCAAACAUUUCAACUGUCUCUCUGACAGGGAUAACAGAUGCUGACAUUAUCAAAUGCCAUGGCCUCUCCUUGCCCCGAUAUGGCCAGUAUAUGAAACUGCACUGCCAUCCAAAAGCACACUUGAGCAACUGGAUCUGCUAACCAGCUCCCAUAUAACCAGUAAAAAUAGAAGUCAGUUUUAUUGCUAUCUUCAGCACUUAAGUCUACGCAAUUUAACACCUGUUUCAUUUCUAUUAGAAUAAAUGGAAAGAGUCGUAGUUACAUUAAUUUCACCAGCAGCAUGAUACUUAACAACCAACAGAUGCACAAUAUACGUAAUAUGAGAAUUGUUUAAAUAUUGCCUGAAUUAGUGUUGACCUUCUCCCAGUUUAGUUCAAAACAUUAACUGUUUCUUUACUCUGCAUUUCACUGAAAGUACUUAACUCAUUACUUUAUAGGCCAACUAUAAUUUCUCAAACUUUUAUUUUUGCAAGUAUAUUUCAGAGGAUAUCCCCUCCCUGAUUCUGAAAUGCAACACUGAAAUCACAUUAUAGCAAAAAUCUGCUCUACUGACUUUUAAAGUAUUACUUACCUGAUUUUAAUAUUCAAGUUCACUGAUUAUAGCUGUACACCAAAAGUCAGUGUAUUAUUAAGCUGAUAAUGGAAGUAACUAGGCAAUCUGUACGCAAAAUGAUAGAGAAUUCCGCAGGGGAAACAGACUUGAAAAGGGUUACAUUACUAACCUAGGAUUAGUAACACUACAUAAGCAAAAACAAAGAAAAAAGCUGGCAUGCAUGGUAGUGCCUUUCAACACAAGUCCAAGCAAUACAGUGAAUACACAUGUGAUCUAUUUAUAAACCAAAGGGCAGAGGUACUUUCUUAAGGCCACUCAUAUUCCUCCAUCCCUUCCCUGUCAGCAACUUGCUAUUAGUCCUCAAGUAUAAUACUGAAGGAGCCACAGUAGAAAGGUAUGACUUUAGUGCUCUUCCCUAUUAGCUUAUUCACUUGGUUCAGUGCCUACAAACAGAAAAUAGUACUCUGAAAUACAUCAAGGUCUAUUUGUUCCUUUAAAUGCUGUUGGUUUUAAAAACAGGUUAUUGUCCACACUUAAGAAUUACACAAAGGUGUACACUGAUAAUCCCUUAAUACAACAACAAAACAUGAAAGGGCAAAGACUUCUGUUCCAUUCGAGUAGGAAGUAGGAAAAGUGCCUUCAAAAUAGAAAAGUUCACAUGUAAUGACUGAACUACUACUGAUAGGAGAAUCUCUAACAUUUGUAGAAUGUCCAUAACCAUAAUUAUACAAAUAAAAAACAGCUCUGCUGUUUUGUAUCCCAAACUAGCAACACUGCAAUGCUUUGCUAGAGCUGGUAAAAUGGAACCAAAUCGCCUCUUCAAUGGAUUUGGUCCCCUUCAACCAGCUGUAGCUAUGCAUUGAUUACUACAGGACAGCCAACGUUUCACUGAUAAAUAUCAAUCACAUGUAAAUGAAUUUCAGCUUAUUUACAUUAUUUGGAUUGUGGUUUCAAUCAAAUAAUUUGUUACUGUUAAUUCCCCUUGGAAGAACCAUAGUGGUUAACAAUGUUUAUAAAAUGUUUUAUGAAAAAUGUGUGGACAACUUAAGGAUUGCAAAUAAAAUAAUUUUAUUUAUUUA